rnacentral:rRNA from 1 species
AGAAUAUCCAAAUCCACCGAAUAAUACCCGCAUCACAGAGGGAUCAUCCCGCGGCGUGGCGCCGUUGCUCCUCCGUGCCGUCCGUCUGCGGCGGUUGCGUGUCUAAAAAUAUUCAAAUUCUCCCUGCACCAAUCAACCUGCAAGUGGCAAAGCAGAGGCGAAAGAACAGAGGAGAAAGAGAAAAAAAAGAGGGGCUCCCAGCGUCCAAAUGGCGCUCCCGGCGACGACCCCGCGCGCGGCGGUGCGGUGUCCGAUCGCGGCGUGCGCGCCCACGCCCCCGGUGACGGCCGGAGGGAGGCCCCGGGAGCUGCCGUUCGCGCUGCUGGCGGAGCGGGGGAUGGUGGUGGGGGGUCACCGCGGGAUGGGGAUGAACGCGGUGGGGGCGCCGCCCGGGGCGCGCGUCGGGGCGGCGAGGGAGCGGGAGAACACGCUGCUCUCAUUCGGCCGCGCCGCCGAGCACGCCGCCGUCGCCUUCGUCGAGUUCGACGUCCAGCUUCAGGAGCGAAACUGAUUCCCGGUGUGGUUGAUUGAGCAAUGUGUGCUCUGCUCUAGUUGGUACAACCGUACAACUAAUUUUUUGGGAUCCUCGAGGACAAAUCCUUUUUGUGGAACUUGGAUGUGGUAAUCGUAUGGACAUGACGCCAUACGCAUGCUAGUUUCUCUCUCUGAAGUAACCAAGCACUAGCAGCACACGCGUGGAGUGACAUUGAUCCAUCUGUGUUCCGAUGUAAUAUGCAAUGCUGUUAUAUUGUAGCCUGCAAGCUAAUCACAUGAAACAAGAAGCUACUGCUUAGAUGCAAAUGACCAGACUAGGUACAGCAGCCACGUUGUGAGGGUGAUUGGGGUUGAUGUUCUCUAGUGCUCAAGUGUUGCAUGGCAAGCUCCUGGAUCCUGAGUUGCAGUUGUACUUGGUGUCAUCUGUUGUCAUUAAUCCACUACAAGGAGUCAUUCGCAGACCAAAGCAUCAGCGGAAUCGGCAAUGGCAACCAUAGGGAGAAUACAUGUUACAAAAGAUGGCUGCCCAGUUAUCUUCCACGAUGAUUUUAUCCUCACCCAAAAAACUGAGGUUUUGUAUGAAAGGCGCGUGACCGAUCUUCUUCUGGACGAAUUCCUUUCAUAUGGGGUACAAAAAGAGCCGCACAAGGUCUCCAAGCCCCUACUUAGACGGAUGGAAGAUGGCAGAGUCCUUGCUUGGAGCACCGAAGAAGAUGAUUAUCUCUGCACAUUGCAGGAAGUCUUCGAACAUGUCAGUCCCCAUCUGGGAUUUAACAUCGAACUAAAGUUUGAUGACAACAUUAUCUAUCCGGGCGUCAACCUUAACCGUGCUCUUCAAGCUGUACUGCAAGUUGUUUUUCAGUAUGCUGGCAACAGACCACUCUUUUUCUCAACAUUCCAACCUGAUGCCGCACGGAUAACACGUGAACUCCAAAGUGUAUACCCUGUACUGUUCUUAACAGAAGGGGGAACAGCCAAACACGAUGAUAGGAGAAGGAACUCACUCGACAAUGCUAUCCAAGUGUGCCAAGAGUAUGACUUGCAUGGGGUUGUGUCAGAAGUCAGAGGAGUUCUAAAAAAUCCCUCUGCGAUCCUAAAAGCACAAGAAUCCAACCUUGCUAUUCUCACCUAUGGGCAGCUCAAUAAUGUGCGGGAGGCUGUUUACAUCCAGUAUCUAAUGGGUGUGAAUGGUGUCAUUGUUGAUCUAGUGGAGGAGAUAUCCAAUGCUGUUGCAGAUUUCAGUAAACCAGACCUCGGCCAGAGCACAUUCAGUAACAGUGUUGACAUAUGCAGAAAACAUGAGUCGUUCUCACAGCAGCAGCUGGGGUUCCUGCUCCGGCUUAUACCUGAACUGAUUCAGCAACCACACUAAAGAUAGAUAGUAGCCAAGAUUGUCCCGGUUUUGAAGCAAGCUGAGGAUUUCAUGCUCUGUUGACAUUUCUGACAGUUGUAUUUAACACUAGUCUAGAAGGUACUCCCUCUGUAAAGAAAUAUAAGAUCGUUUAGAUCACUACUUGAGAUGUUUAAAACAUAGAUGAUCUAUACAAUAAAGAUAGUCAAAUCACCCGGCAAACUAUUAUGUAUGAUUGACCAAUCCUGUUGCAACUAUGUGCAUAACAACUUUGUUAACGAUAAGAACAGCAAUCCAUGGCCAGAACGUUUUGAAAGCUUACUGGAUCGUAAUCUGUUUGAAUAUAGCAAGUUCUUUUUUUCAGACAAAGGGUGGGUUUUAGAGCGAGUUUUUUUUGGGCGGAAUUAGAGCAAGUUAAAUUAGAUUAAAGAAAAACCUGGAGUGGUGUGGCACCCAUGUUUCUUGUGUAGAGGCCAUCAGGGAACCCCAGCUGCUGCUGUGAGAAGGACUCAUGUUUUCUGCCUAUGUUCGCUGUUACUGAACGUGCUCUGGCCGAGGUCUGGUUUACUGAGAUCUGCAACAGCAUUGGAGAUCUCCACUAGAUCAACAAUGGCGCCAUUCACACCCAUUAGAUACUGGACGUAAACAGCCCCCCGCACAUUACUUUUCUUUUUAGAAAAGGAGGAUAAGGAUUACCCCCGGCCUCUGCAUCUGGGCGAUGCAUGCAGCCAUUUUAUUAAUUAUUCACAAAGACCUUACAAAGUGGUACAUCAGGUAGUCUGAAGCCACCAUCCUAGCAACAUCUGUCGCUACUCGUAUCCCUGCACAUUAUUGCAUAUGCAACCAAUAAAUCCAGGAACUCCACAACGGGUGGGGUUGAGAUCGAGACUUGGCCUACGUGAAAGAAACUAUCUGAACAUGCUCUGAUGUCCGUGUGCAGGACAUUGCUUGCUCAGACUAGUAGUAGUUGCAUGGCAUCCUUUUGGAUCGUAAUAGCUCUCUUCUCUUAAGCCCUAAGUAACAACUAGACAUGCAUGGGUCCUCCUUCUGCCUGCAGAAUAACGAGAAUUAUUUGCACAUGGUGCAUUGCUUACCGAUCUGAACAGAACCGAAUGACUGACGCGCCACCAACCCUUCCAAUUCAAGAAAUCCGUCUUUCAUGUGGCCCUUCUCCAUCUAUACAUACCUGGACAGGCAAAAUGCCAUCCUGCAGGUGACUCACUUUGACAUCCUUUUCUGAAAGAAAGGUGACCCAAUUCGUGCAUGAUUAGUCAGCAGAAACACAAAGCAGAUGCACUUAUUUUUCCUCUCCUCUCCUCCUGACCCAUUAAAGAAAGACAAGGCUUCCCCUCCUCUUCCUUGAGGAGGAGCCUCACAACAGCUGACCUAGGUAGGACAACCCAUCACCGUCUGCCCAAUCUGUUUUGCUUAGUCUGGCUCUGCCCAGAUUAUACUACAUAUAAAACCCUUGGCGACCCGAAUGUCGGCGACCUAACCGCGCUCCCAUUGGCGGGCGACAGAGGGAGGAAGGAGGGGUUUCCCUUCCCUUGUGACAAAGGCAUCGCCCUGAUUUGUCAUAGUAGCGAUCUUGCCUGGAUCCUUGAUGCGGUCCGGUCUUGGCUCCUUUCAGCUCUCAAUCAAUAAUUUACUAGUACCAGCCAUUAGGGUAUCGUGUGACCCAUGUAGAUAGAUUAUAGAUUGGGUCAGAGUUGCUUCGUGGACAAGGUCACCAGACAGAUUAGUCAGAGGCAUGCACCCCCACUCCAAAGGCAUUGACACUGCAGGAAAGCAACCUCAAAAGGGACCUGUGUAGGUGUGGUGCAAAUGUGGUGCAUCACGCUUUUUUGGACAGAAAAAAAUGGCACACGUCCAUAGCUUUAUUUAGCUUUCACUUCAAUUCUCAUGUUCACAUUGCUACUGUACUGUUAUACUCCUCGUAUUGUACUCCUUGUGGACGGCUGAUCUGGAUCAGAUCUGGUGUUGCGAAAAAAGACAUGGCGCACAGUAUCGGGAACGUAGUACGCUCAACAGAGUAAAAACGGUUGUCACUCUUUCUUUCUGAACCUUUUGGUUCUUGGGAUCUUUGUUCUGCUCAAGGAACUUGGUAUAUAAAGGUAUUUUUCAUGGUGUGGUGCAAAUGUGAUUCAUCAUGCUUUGAAGAAAGAGGGUACGUAACUUUCGCUAACGGGCGGUUAACAGUUUCAAUGUUCACAUUGCUAGUUGUGAUGUAGAAUCUUCGAGCUGUUGCAUCGCACUGUCAGUUUUCACGUUUAAAGGCUUUGGUUAUCAGAGAAAUGCUGAAGGUUUCUUGCUCUUCCUAUGAUUGGUCUUUACCUAACUGCUGACGGGUAGCUUGCUUGCCUGCUUAUUCUCUGCAAGGAUCUCAAGGAUUGCUUUUUGUUCAAGGAAAAAGUGACAUCACAUAUCACUAAGUUUGAUUGGACUUGAUGAAACGACCGCCUCCUAAUUCAUUAACAGCACAAGAUCUCAAUCCAGAUGUUCUCACUAGUCCAACCUUUAAGGCAUCCAAAACAUGCCAACUGAAAAUCUGGGCAUGGGAUUAUGUGUUGUUGAAGCCAUACCGGCGACGACAAAUCAACGGAAAACAUAUUAUCAAUGGAAAACAAAUCAUGUGUUGUCAACGAUGGUCAAAUUAUAGGUUCUCCAGACAAAUAUGGCCUAGUCUCCGGCUGAAGGGCUGAUGGUGACAUGUUGCUUGCCCAGGUCAACCUCGGCCCAACCCUGUCCCCUUUUGCAAACUUUUUUUAAUGUUCAAACAGAAUUUGAAGAUAUUCAUACAUCAUGUAAAUUUCAGUUCGUAAAGUUUCCUGUUAUUCGCAGUUACUAUUUGUGUUUUUUUUUGGCGGGGCGCAGUUACUAUUUGUUUAUGAAAUGAAAAAUCAGGUGACAUCCCUAAAACAGUUAAAUUCUUUGUUUCUGUGAUAUGUUCAAAGAUAUUCAUAUGACAGACAUGGUUUGGAACAAUAUUCUCCAGUUGGCCAUGAGAAGAUUGUUGUUUGCAUGUUCUGCAUAGAAACAUCUCAGAUAAGGUAGGCAAAGAAGACUACAGUAUCUUAAGCAUAAUUUUAAGCAAUCUGACUCAACUGCAAGGUAUCUUUUUAUGCAUAGGCUGAAAAAGCACCCCCUUUAAAAGCAUUUGACCAAUGUUUUCAACUAUGUGCAGGAACAGGCGAAUGAGUUUACCUCCUGCGUGAAGGAAAAGGCUGCCUUUCCCAAACUUCAAUCCUAAUUAGCUAAGCUCUAGGUUGACAUGACACUGCAUGGUAUCUUGGCAAGUAUUUAUUCCCUUCUCCUCUAUUUUUCCUUUAAUUGUUUGUUAAUUAUUUUCCUUGUAAAAAAUUUCACACUGUCGACGCAAACGUUUGGCUCCUGGGUCGAUUGUUCUACCCACGUAUGAAUUUUCAUGAAGAAAUGACAUCCGUAGUGUUCUGGACAAAAAAAAGAACAAAUUGGUGCUCUAAAAAGCCCAUUUUUGACCCUAAACAAAUUCAGAUUUUAGUGUUCAUUCGGUUGCAUGUGGAACCAUGUCAAGGAUAGCAUUUUCGUUCACUCUGCGCCCUAAAUGAGUUAUUUUUUCAUUGUAUGUGUUUUGGGCUAGACUAGAUGGGUUGCAAGGCACUAGCCAGUUUGGUACUGAAGUGGAUACAUACCCUUUGCCUCUUCAAGCACACAAGCAGAUCAAAUAACAUAAGAUUAGCUUACUUUAUGAUGCUGCAAGCUAAGUGGUAGCUUGUCCUGUUGUAUAAUUGACUGCACAAUAUCAAUAUUGAUGGCUUGAAGGGACUAAUAAAUUCCAACAGGUGUGAUUGGUUAGUUAGGUAGCUUAAAACACUGCUUAAAGUCAUGAUCAGCCAAGAAAAUAAGCCAUCUAGGUCUAUUUUGUAAAAGCAGAAUGCCAAUCACAUCCAGUAUGUGCCUUACAACUGUCCUAGACUCCAGCCUGAGCGACUGCAACUCUAACUAUUACUUAAUCAUGCAAAAGCAAGACACCAAGUCCUGAUCAUGUAGGUCAUGACAUAUGCUUGCACAUAAGCAGUUGCUUGCUGGAAUUUUUUGUUCGACGGACGGCA